rnacentral:rRNA from 1 species
GUGCCAGCAGCCGCGGUAAUACGUAGGGUGCGAGCGUUAAUCGGAAUUACUGGGCGUAAAGGGUGCGCAGGCGGCCAUGUAAGACAGGUGUGAAAUCCCCGGGCUUAACCUGGGAAUUGCGCUUGUGACUGCAUGGCUAGAGUACGGCAGAGGAGGGUGGAAUUCCACGUGUAGCAGUGAAAUGCGUAGAGAUGUGGAGGAACACCGAUGGCGAAAGCAGCCCUCUGGGCCGAAACUGACGCUCAUGCACGAAAGCGUGGGUAGCAAACAGGAUUAGAUACCCUGUAGUCC